UGGGGAAUAUUGGACAAUGGGCGCAAGCCUGAUCCAGCCAUGCCGCGUGAGUGAUGAAGGCCCUAGGGUUGUAAAGCUCUUUCAGCGAGGAGGAUAAUGACGUUACUCGCAGAAGAAGCCCCGGCUAACUUCGUGCCAGCAGCCGCGGUAAUACGAAGGGGGCUAGCGUUGUUCGGAUACUGGGCGUAAAGCGCACGUAGGCGGACUUUUAAGUCAGGGGUGAAAUCCCGGGGCUCAACCUCGGAACUGCCUUUGAUACUGGAAGUCUGGAGUCCGAGAGAGGUGAGUGGAACUCCGAGUGUAGAGGUGAAAUUCGUAGAUAUUCGGAAGAACACCAGUGGCGAAGGCGGCUCACUGGUCUCGGUACUGACGCUGAGGUGCGAAAGCGUGGGAGCAAACAGGAUUAGAUACCCUGGUAGUCCACGCCGUAAACGAUGGAAGCUAGCCGUCAGGGUGCAUGCAUCUUGGUGGCGCAGUUAACGCAUUAAGCUUCCGCCUGGGGAGUACGGUCGCAAGAUUAAAACUUAAAUGAAUUGACGGGGUCAUAGCUGUUUCCU
rnacentral:rRNA from 1 species